rnacentral:lncRNA from 10 species
UUCUAGGUUUUCACUUUGUCAGACAUUUUGAGUUUCGAUCACAAACACUCCACGUUCACAUCACCCAUGCAUGCUGCCCACCCGUAUCCACAAGGCUGCUGUGUCUACUCUGCUCCUGUUUUCCAAAGCACCCCUUCCAUCAGGAAAUGUGCCUUCCAUUCCUAGGGAUGUCAUGAUUCCCAGCUUUCAUAUCUCCUCACAGAGGAGGUUCCCAAAUUACUCUGGGUUCUCAGUCCAGAAGUUGAGCCUUUAAAACCCUUUUCUGUCAUAUGGUCAGUCCGUUGCAGGGUGCAGCCCCUCAGCAGCCAAGAUUCCCUGUGGAUAGCUCUUCAAUCUGAUUGCCUGGGCUUUCUCCAUCAUGAAACCUUUCAUCUCCUUGGUCCUUGUCACACACCCUGAACCCCAAAAUAGAAAAGCCACAACAGAAUGAAGUAGAUGAGAAACAAUCUCCUUGUUUAUAAUUCCGUUUAUUUCCUCACAUACCAGCCAAGCUUCUCAGUCAGGCAGACACAAUAGAUGGAAUGGCAAGGGAAGUGAAGAGUGGAGGCUGCAUCCCUUCAGCCGCCAGCUGAUGUUCUGCUUAUUUCGCAUACCGGAACUCCCAGGCGUCCUCAAACCACAAUCACAGUUGUUGGUUCCAGAAACAUCUUCUUUGGAAAAACAUGUGACAUCAGUUUCCUCAGAGUCUUCCGGACAAUCCAGUCACACAGAACUGACAAAACCUUGUCAGGUGAGAAGAUAAGGAUCUUCUUCAAUACAGAAUAUGUCAACAUCUCCUUCUGAAUAGUUCCGUUUAUUUGCUCACAUACCAGCCAAGCUUCUCAGUCAGCAGGCACAAUAGACUGAAUAGGAAGGGAAGUGAAGAGUGAAGUCUGGAUCCGUUUAGCCUCCAGCUGAUGUUCUGCUUAUUUCCUGUACUGGAACUCUCAGAAGUCCUCAAACCACAAUCACAGUUGUUGGUUCCAGAAACAUCUUCUUUGGAAAAACAUGUGACAUCAGUUUCCUCAGAGUCUCCCGGACAAUCCAGUCACGCAGAACUGACAAAACCUUGUCCAGUAAGAAGGUAAGAAUCUUCUUCAAUAGAGAAUACGUCAACGUCUCCGUGAACGAAGAGAUCUGCUGGUUCCAAGGACUUGUCGUGGAUUUCUGUCCUAGAUACUUUCUUCCGUAAUUCAAGAUAAAGAAAAUUACAAUCUCUGCUGUCCAUUCCAUCGCUUUUCCCUUCAGAAUCAUAAUCAGAGAAUCCUUGCAGAACGUCGUGAGUGUGCUCUCAGCUGCAAUCACCAGAAGGACUCUUCACACUCGGUGAGUCCUCCUCAUUUUAUAGAAGCCAAAGCAGUGACGUAUGCUCACCCCUCCCGCCCCCAGGAGAGAGGUUGCUGGAACACUUCCAAGAAGUUUCUCCUCCUCUAUGAUGAAACCAACACAAGAAAGCCAAAAGGGCGUUUAACCCCUUGAAGCACUGAGAGUUUCCCUGCUGAUAUUCUUAGACUGUUCUUUUUCUAAAACGAGAAAGAGGUAAGUUCUCUUUUUUUUUUUACACUGCCCAAAACUCUCUCUGCUCAGUGCUGGGCACUGGAAAACAAUGGCCCUCUCUCUGGAAACCACUAUCUGCCAUCUCAAGGGCCCACUACAGGUCUGCCCAGCAUUUUCAUCCCUUCCUCAAGUCUGGUGCCCAGGACCCUCCUCUGCUCUGACAGCCAGGCAGCAGCACUCAAACUCCCCUCCCCUCUUAGCCUUCAUACCUUCAGCUGCACUUCUGCCUCUGCAGUGUCAGGAUGACCUCCCCUUCCUCCUGUCCUUCCUCAUUCUUAAGACUUCCUACCCCUUCUGGAUUAAUUUAUGGAAAACCUAAAUAAUCUCUUUCAAAUUUUAGCCCACUUUUUACAUGUAGAUUGUUUUAUAAGAUGAAUUUUAACAAACCUUUUCUAAGUUGUUCAACCAUUUUCUUUUGUCUUUUUGUUAUUUUAUUUCCUGAAUUUAAAAUAUUUGAAAACCUCUAAACUUGACAAAACUAAUUUUUUCAUAAAAGCUAUGUUCUCAUGUCCUUUUAUAAACUUUGACUUAAAAUAUAUUUUACUUGUUCAGUCAGAUUUGUGUGUGAAAAUUUUUAAGUAGCUUUAGAUACAAAUAUUAAUUAUAAUGGUAACUCUUAAGUAUGCAUUUUUAGUAAACCACUUAGGAGACAACCAAUUUUAAUUAUGUCCUUGAUGUAGAGCUUAAAGAAAAAGAUGGAGCUGUAGAAAACAUCUUAGUCUUGAAAUAUCUUACUCUUCCCAGUAUAAGGGGGGGCAUGGCCCUAUUUCACAGGUGCCCAGGCCUUAGCUAGAAAUGGAUGGUUCCAAGACAUGUCAAAAAACUGUUUGAAAGGUUUUAGAAGUUGUUAAUGACAUGAAAAUAUUUAGUAAAGGCAGUAUUUGAUCUGUCUAAUUUGGAUCCAAUAUCUAAACUCUGAAGACAUAUUUAUUUUAUUUUGCUAAUUUUAAAAGUGGCUUUAUUUUUUAAAAUAAUGUUUAUGUUUCUUUCAAUAGUGUGUGGAAUAUAUGUGGUUUUUGGUUAUGUGGAUAAAAGUUCCUUAGUGGUAAUUUCUGAGAUUUUGAGGCAUCUGUCUCCUGAGCAGUGUAUAAUAUACCCAAUAUGUCAUCAUUUAUUCCUCAUCCCCCUCCCAACCUUUCCCCGAGUCCCCAAGUCCAUUAUAUCAUUCUUAUGCCUUUGCAUUCUCAUAGCUUAACUCUCAUUUAAAAGUGAAAACAUUCAAUAUUUGAUUUGCCAUUCCUCAGUUACUUCACUUAGAAUAAUGGCUUCCAGUUCCAUCCAACUUGUUGCAAAGGACAUUAUUUUGUUCCUUUUUAUUAUCAAGUAUUAUUCCAUGGUGUACCACAUUUGCUUUAUCCACUCGUUCGUUGAUGGGCACUUAAGUUGGUCCCAUAUCACUGCAAUUGCGAAUCGGCUGCUAUAAACAUCCAUAUUCUUGUGUCUUUUUUAUGGAAUAACUUCUUUUCCUUUGGGUAGAUAGCCAGUAAUGGGAUUGCUGGAAUGAAUGGUCUACUUUUAGUUCUUUAAGGAAUCCCCAUACUGUUUACCAUAGUGGUCGGACUAGUUUAAAUUCCCACUAGCAGUGUCAAAGUGCUCCCUUUUGACCACAUCUAUGCCAACAUCUAUUGUUUUCUGACUUUUAAAUUAUGGGCUUCUAGCAAGAUUAAGAUAGCAUCUCAUUGUGGUUUUGUUGUGGGAUUUAGGAGGAUGAGAGAGAGGCUUUGGGUUAAAACAGGAGAAUCUUUUAUUGAGUGCUCUCAGGCCCAGCAGACUCACGUCCAAAGACAGGGCCUGGAACAAAGACAGCACUUGACUUUUAUACACACUUCACAAAAGGGGGUGGGCCAGCUUGAAGCAAGCUUACAGUGGUGUGAAAGCAGGGAUACAGAGGCAGGAAAAAGACAGUUAAUCAAAUUGUAACAGGUUCAUAACUCAGGAUUGCACAUAACUGUUGCUAUGCAACCCAGAUGUCUAUUAUCUAGGUUUUGCUCUAAAGAGGCUUGCAUUGGUUUAUCUUCACUAUGGUGCCUAGAGAGCUGUAGUUCAGGCCUGCUCAGGCUUCUCAUGACCUUUGCCAUACUUCUUAGAUAAAACAGAAUACUUGAAGUUACUAGUUAAAGAGAACAAGAAUCUAUAAACUCAUACCAUAAAACAAAGGAAAAUUUGUUUUUCUUCUCCCUACAUUGAAGGAGUGCUGGAAGAGUCUCCAGAAUACAAUAAAUAAUAUUAUCAAGACUUUUCCUGGGUCUGGGCUGUGCCUGUUGCUGCCUCUGGGACAAGUUAGCUUAAUACAAGAAAGCUUAUUUCCCUUUCUUUUUAAUUUUAUUUUUCUUUAAUUUCCCACCUCAGUUUUACUUUGCAUUUCCCUGAGAAUUUUUAAUAAGUAAAAUACUUAGAAAUAUACUUAACCAAGUAGGUUAAUGUAAGUUUCCUACAAGGAAAACUACAAAAUAGUGCUGAAAGAAAUCACAGUUGACACAAACAAAUGGGAACACAUUAUAAGCUUAUGAAUAGGUAGAAUCAAUAUUGUGAAAGUGACCAUACUCUCCAAAGCCAUCUACAGAGCAGUAGAAUUCUCAUCAAAAUAUCAUCAUUCUCCUUCCCAGAACUAGAAAAAAGAAUCCUAAAAUUUAUACAAAACCAAAAACGUGACCGCAUAUCCAAAGCAAUACUUUGCAAAAAGAACAAAUCUGAAGGCAGGCUUUAAAUUAUACUACAAGGCUACAAUCACCAAAAUAGCAUGAUACUGGUAUAAAAUAUGCACAUAGAGCAAUAGAACAGAAUAGAGAACCCAGAAAUAAAGCCAAAUGCUUACAGACAACUAAUCUUCAACAAAGUACACAAAAACAUUAAUUGGGGAAAGGAUACUUUAUUCAAUAAAUGGUGCAGGAAGUAUAAAAAUAGGCACAUAGAGCAAUGGAACAGAAUAGAGAACCCAGAAAUAAAGCCAAAUGCUUACAGACAACUAAUCUUCAACAAAGUAUGCAAAAACACUAAUUGGGGAAAGGACACUUUAUUCAAUAAAUGGUGCAGGAAGUAUAAAAAUAGGCACAUAGAGCAAUGGAACAGAAUAGAGAACCGAGAAACAAAGCCCGGUACUUUCAGUCACCUGAUCUUUAACAAAGCAUAUAAAAACUUCCAUCUAAGACCUGAAAGUCUAAAAAUGCUACAAGAUAGCAUCCAAAAAGCUUUUCUAGACAUUGGCUUAGGCCAAGUAGUCAUGACUAAUGCCCCAAAAGCAAACGCAAAAAUAUAAAAAUAGAAUAAGAUCAAUAGGACCUAAUGAAACCGAAAAUCUUCUGCAAGGCAGAAGAAAUAUCAGCAGGGUAAACACACAACCCACAGUAUAGGAAACAGUAGUCACAAACUAGGCAUCUGACAAAGGACUAAUGUCCAGACUCCAAAGGAACUGAAAGAAAUCAGCAAGAAGAAAAGGUGCCAUUUACCACCUUCCUGACUCAUUGGCCAGAACCAAUGUUAGUGGAAUUAACAUAUGCCCCACCCCAAGUGACUUCUAAAGGGCUAACUCACCACAAGGGAGUCAGAGCAGAUCUUGGACUGAGACCUACAGGACACAGCGACUCUUAAAUAGGUGGCUCACCAGGAGAAAGGCAUAGCAGAACCUGGACUGAGACCUACGGGAGACAGCAGGCAGACACACAGGAGGUUGGACGUCGAGAGGAGCACAUCAGUGCAAGAACACAUGGGUGGCUGCCACUUCUCUCCCUUUCCUGAGAGGGAAAAACUCUCGACGCUGAGAGGAAUCCACCAACAGGCACCAGCACUCUGGCAGGCCACCGACCAAUGGAUUGACAUAGAGUUUGGCUGGGGCAGCCAGAGGAGAGCCUGGGCCGCUGAAUAACCCGACUUCAGGGGAAAACUAUUCUCCCUUUUGGCUCCCCCAUCUGCUGAGAGCUACUUCCACUCAAUAAAACCUUGCACUCAUUCUCCAAGACCACGUGUGAUUUGAUUUUUCUGGUACACCUAGGUAACAACCGCGGGAUACAGAAAGCCCUCUGUCUUUGGGUUAAGGAAUGGGUCUAAUUGAGCUGGUUACCACAAAGCCACCUAUAGAUGGCAAAACUAAAAGAGCACAUGGUACCACAUGUCCACUGGGGCUUCAGCAGCUGUAAACAUCUACCCCUAGAUGCUGCCAUGGGGUUGUAGCCCCACAACUUGCCAGUCUGUAUGCUUCCCUAGAGGUUUGAGCAGCGGAGUACUAAAGAAGCAAGCCACACCCCCACUCCACCUCCUGUGAGGGGGACAAGGAAACUUUUCCCAUUUCAACUGGUGGCUCGUCUGGGAUCUCGGAAGAUCAUCCUGGCCUGCUAAGACCCAUCCUGUGCUUAUAAAAACCCCAAGACCCUAGCAGUCAGACACACAGGAGGCUUGACGUCGAGAGGAGCACAUCAGCGGAGGAACACACAGGCGGCUGGACAUGAAGAGGAACAUGACAACAGGCACCAGCACACCAGCAGGGCACCGACUUAUAGAACGAUGUGGAUUUUGCCUGGGGCAGUCAGAGGAGAGCCAGGGCUGCUGAACGGCCCCAAUCCAGGGAGAAACCAAUCUCCUUUCUGGCUCCCCCAUCUGCUGAGAGCUACUUCCACUCAAUAAAACCUUGCACUCAUUCUCCACGUCCACGUGUGACCUGAUUCUUCUGGAAUGCCAAGGCAAGAACCCUAGGAUACAGAAAGCCCUCUGUCCUUGUGAUAAGGAAUGUGUCUAAUUGAGCUAGUUACCACAAGUUGCCUAUAAAUGGCAAAACUAAAAGACCACACGACCACUGGGGCUUCAGGAACUGUAAACAUCCACCCCUACACACUGCCAGUAUGAGAAAAAUUUGCUGAUAUGUUUUCUGCUGACCUGAUGACAAUGUUCCUAUGGUCACACUAACCACUGCUGGGUAAUUUUCAUCAUGACUCUCGUUUUCAUCUGCUGAAACCAGCCUCCCCAAGAAAGACAACUAUUUUCAAACUGAGGAAAUAAAGUGUUACUAAACCACAGUGUUCUCUCAUGGCUGUUCCUGGAGUUCUUCAAAACACUUGAUAUUAUAAAAUAGAAUUAUUACAGAUCACUGUAUGUUAUGGAUUUAGUCAAAAUGAUAAUUUAAAAUAUGGUUUAAAAUAAAAAACUUUAUUUUCCAAAGAAGAUAGUUUUUUAAACAAGAAUAUCCAAUAAAGACAGUAUGAGGUCAGCUGACUUUAGUGUUGGUGUAUGUGUAUGUGUGUGUGUG